rfam:halophilic archaeon J07HB67 genomic scaffold scf_7180000098878, whole genome shotgun sequence.
GCCGAGGUAGCCUAGCCUGGCCAAGGCGGUUGAUUCGAGAUCAACUGUCCACUCCGGACACAGGAGUUCAAAUCUCCUCCUCGGCG